AGCCCAUGGUGUGGGCAUUUGACCAACAAGUCAUGGAAUCGUUCCCAAGUUUGAAAGAAUUCUUCUUCAGAUUUUUCUCUAAAAGUUCUGAUGGCAUCCUUAAUUUU